CAGAAUUCAAGAAAGACAUCCCAAUACAUACAAAACGGCAAUGGAAAAGGGAAAAUGUCUGCCUUCCUAAGUUCCCUUCCCUAAUCCCUAAUAUUUCUUUGAGUCUUUCUAGCAAUUGGAGUCAUUGGACUAUCAUCCUUCAUCCCUCCUUCGACAGUUUUUAGACCCUGCUGUUUUUAGCCUACGACCAAUUUAGUCAAGACUCGAGAGAUUUUGUGAAAGUUGCUUCCGCUUCCCAUCGUUGUCACCACUUCUAGCCAUUGCUAUCACCAUCCACCCCUAAACGGAGUGACAACUAAUAAGGUUAGUACUGUAUAGUUGGAGUUUUGAUUUUACAUCUCCGAGCGGUCAAUUAGUUAUGCUGAAUAUAUGAUUUAUCAUUUGUGAAUCAAUUUAAAUGGAAAUUGGAACUUUGCGCAUUUUUCACUUUGCUUGCCUGGGGCCAUUUUUUGAAUUGGCUAGAGCCCUUGUUUGAGUUGUCGAAAGAUUCUUGGAGCCAUUUUUCAAUGGUCAAUUUUUGAAGUGGGAAUCUCUAAUUUGUGAAUCUAUGAAGGAUAGCUUAUUUGUGAAUUGUGAUUUAUGAGAUUUAGUUUGGGAAGUGGGAACUUUAUCUAAAAUUAAAAAUUGGGGACUCAUAGAGAAUAAUUAAUUGUGAUAUGAUAUUGAAUAUUUAAAAUUUUUUGUCACUUUUUCAAGUUUGAUUGUGCCCAACUAACUCAAAAUAUCCGGGUUAGCCACUAUAUUGAUUUACCGAAUUUUACUAUGUAGUCUAAAUAUCAGAUUCACCUCUCGAUUCGUAAAAGAUUAACAAAAUCAUCAAAUUAAUAAUCAAGUAAUUCAACGUAUUAAACUCAUAGAAAAAUCAACACAUAUAUGAUAAAAUAAUCAGAAUUCCGAAUAAAUGAAAUGGUCCUAAGUAGAUUACAUUGUCUACCUAAUAUGAAAUUUAGCUACUCAUAAUGCAAAAAGAAAAACAAGAAAUUGUUAUUGAAUACAUCAUUGAAUUUUGAAUAAAGAUGUAGAAAAAGAGAUCAUCUUGCACCAAGAUAUUAUUCCUCUUCCAAUUAAUACUUCAAACCUUGAGUUUCUUGAUUUUUUCUCCCUUGAUUUGCGGUCGUCAAUCUCCAGUUGUAUUUCUUUAUCUCUCAAUGCGUGGAAUUCCUUCAAAAGUGCUAAUAACUUAUAUUUAUACUUCUCCACAUGUUUGUGUCCAAUACAUGGUUUCUUGUGGGCUUCAAAAUGGUCGAAAAACAAACCCUCUUCCGUCUUUAGGUGGUGCCUGGUUGUGGCGUGGCAACAUUGUAUCAAAUUAACCUAUGGUACUACAGUGUCUAGAGCGCCACAACUCUGCCAGUCUAUUUUUAAAGUGGCACCAAGGUACUACUAUGGUAUGUCAAGGCACUACGUCUUUGUUUGUUUAUGGUUCUGUGGCGAUGAUGCACCCACUCUUCAAUCUUCCAUUAACCACCUUCUCACGCAGAUUCUUCUUUUGUUCAUCUUUGUGUAUUAUAAAUUGACUAUUUUGUCCUUUAUCUUUCCUUUCCCUCCUUUUGAUUUCAAGCCAUUGUUUUUCCACUUUUACAAUCAUUAACUCCACCUCAUCAAACCUAUAAAACAACACUAAUGAACACAUUAAAAACGUUCAAUACACGUAAGAUUUAGCCAACCAAAAUUUUUAUUUCUUUCCUUUAGACGACGCCUGCUAUCUUCGACAUUGCAUCCGGUAGACAACGCACUGUCGAUGAUAACAGAGCUGUUAUUCGAGAUGUCGAUGAGCAACAGCAUCAAGUGCGUGACCACUGCGCAUGUGUUGUAGCCCACGAAUUACCAAUGCCCUGAUGACUGUUGUUAUAUCAACUACAUAAACUCAGAACAUAAAAUUUUCUAGGUAUCAGUACAAGAGAGGUACUUGGAGAUUCUUCCAAAUCCUUUUAUCCAUUCCUCGACCAUGCCUUCAAAUGUAGAGGACAAACUGUUCCACUAUUGAGCUUGUGGUGUUGGAGUAACCCUAUGCAUCCUAAGGAGGUUCUUAUGCUUGUGGCAUGCCAAGGUCUUACACAACUCUCAACGAAUCGUUGAAAAUAGCAGCUUAUGUUGUUGGUUGACUUGCCAUUUUUCAUUAUGUAAAAAAAAAAAAAAGAAAAAAAAAAUUAUCUUAGAGAUAAUCGACAACAAACCUCAACAUAUUCGACGGGAAAACUCAAAUUCAUUGAAAUAUUAAAUCCUAGAGGGUUGAAAUAGAACCUACUGAGAUUACAUCUUCUUUCAUUAAGGGAAAGAAAUCCUUUACUAAAACUAAAAUAAAUAAACAAACUAUUCUCUAAGUGGCUAAUCGUUAACUUCGCUUGUUUGAAUACCGAGUCCUAAUUCCUAUAAAUCUUAUUAGGUUAGGUUCUCAUUUUUCGAGGGGUCUACUGACUUAGGUCUAGACUUAGGCUCUGAUUCAAACUCCUCCUCUGGGUCUGAUUCAGGCUCUAGCUCUUACUUAGGUUCGAGCUCAUGCUCAGGCUCAGGCUCAGGCUCAGGCUCUUGCUAUUGGUGGUUCAAUACGGUUAUGAUAUACUUGUAAUAUCUUCUAAAAUCAAUUGUGUCCCAAUCCUUGGGGCAGAUACAGCUCAUCACUCGUUUCUCUCAUCGAGUACACCACUUCUCUCUAUUGAGGCCUCAUAGUGUUUAUAAAAUGAUAUUGAUAGGUUCGUCUCCCUUUGUAAUUCAUGAAUAGGAAUUCUACAACACACUGAACAAAAUUACGAUCCCAUCUCACUUUUUAAUUCACGUAGUUAUAAUAAUCCGGCCCAUGUCGGAUACGUUGAGCUGGUUAUCCUAGUUGUUUAUAACGUCUUAACCAUGUCUAUCACUUCUAAGUGAAAUUAUGCUUAGUCUUCAUUAAUGAUAUAACAUUACUUACUAUUCUCGCAUGAAAUAUUAUAAUGGUAAAUAAAAUAUUAUUCUUUAAUCGGAAAUGAUUAUGCCGACCAUAAGCAUACGAAAAACAUUGUAUUUGAAACAUUUCAUAAAAUUGAAGCAGAAGAAAUUUAGAAGUCACGCUUACAAUUCAAAACUAGAAUAUAAUAAUUCAUUGUAAACAUUUCCUGAAUUAAACAUACAAAAUUUAUAUCUCAUGCUCGAAAUUAAAUUAAAACAUAAAAUUUCGCAUGGUAUCAUUGGUAUGUUAGAUGUAGUUGAUUGGUGAGUGCUAAAUGCCAAGAACUUCGUUUUAAUUCAUGUUUGUGUUUUUCUUUUUCUUUUCUUUUCUUUUCUUUUUUUUUAAUUGAAAUAAAGAUAGUAUCUUAUAAUAUAGUUGAAUACCCCUAUUAUUACUAAGAAAUAAUUCUUUUUUUAUACAGCGAACAGUUAUGCGGUCACUAUUUACUGUGAACAAUAUUGCCACGGUUAUACUUUAUUGUGAAUAGUGUCGUGCAACAUCAACUACAUGAAUAGCGACUCGAAUUCAUUGUUCACAUAUGGUGAUUUCAAAUUUUAUUUUAUUUUUAUUAACAUUUAUAAGUACAUAUUUCGCUAGCGCACAUAGAUACAAAACUUUAACAAGUUUAUAGAUAGGUAGACACUUGCUGUAAUGUCAAACCACAAUGUCUUAAAUUUUAUAAUCAUAAAAAUCGAGCUGUUACCAAUAUCAUUUCAUAAAAUUAACUUUAAAUGUAAAAAUUAAUAUAAAAUUUGAAUUUUUAUUUUUUUGUAAUUUAAUAUAAUUGAAUAAAAUAAAUUUCAAAUGUAAAUUAAAGAAAUUCAUGACAUUUAAGUGAAAUGAUGUGUUAGACAUGUAAAAAUUACUAUAUCUACUAUUUGUUUGUUAGAAACUUUUACUUGGCUACCUGCUACAGGACGCAUCCACCAUUCGAGCUUGACACAAUCAAACUUGAAAUUUUGUAAAUGGAGUGAAUAUUUUAAAACUUAGUAGGAUACAGGCAGCCCAAAAAUAAUAUUAUAAAAUCAAACGUAAAUUACAAUAUUCCAUACCACCGUUUCAUUAAGGGCAUUUGAUGAUCAAUUUAGUACUCUUACACAUUUUUGUGUAAACUUUUGAGAAAUCCAAAGAAAUCUUGCAUUUAAUUUCAUCACAGGUCCUUAGGUCAAUGAGCAUUUCCUGUAUAAUCAACUAAAAUAAACGGUAUUUUGAAGAUAACAACUUGAACAUAUAGUAACUUAUCUUCGAAUCCUAUGGAAAAACUUGAAUUUAGCUCGAAGAAAAAUACAUUCGCUGAAAUAAUUUUUUAUCUUCGAAAUAAAAUCACUGAAAGAUUCGAUAUACUUUUCGCAGGUGGUCUGUAAAUAUAUGAGAUUAAAAGUUAAUUGUUGUUGGCGCCUUUAGAAAUGAAAAAAGGUGAGUAUUUAUAGCACUUUUAAGAAUCCUAAAUCUUUUAAAUUUUGAAGUAUAAAAUAAUGAAUUUAAAAAUAUAUAAAAUCAAAAUUUUAUCUCAAUCAACUCUAAUAUUUCAAGUGAUUAAGAUAAUGAAUUUAAAAGAAAGAUAAUAAGAAAAGUAUUAUCUCAAUCAUCUUUAAAAUUUCAAUACAAUCAUGAAUUAAAACAAAAUAAUCAAUAAUAUGAUCUAAAUCAUUUUUAAAAUUUCAAUGUAACUAAAAGGAUAAAAGAAANAUAAAGAUAGUAUCUUAUAAUAUAGUUGAAUACCCCUAUCGUUACUAAGAAAUAAGUCCUUAACCAAAAAAUAAUAAUAAUAAUAAUAAUUCUUUUUUUUAUACAGUGAACAAUUAUGCGGUCACUAUUUACUGUGAACAAUAUUGCCACAGGCCCACAGUUAUACUUUAUUGUGAAUAGUGUCGUGCAACAUCAACUACAUGAAUAGCGACUUGAAUUCAUUAUUCACAUAUAGUGAUUUCAAAUUUUAUUUUAUUUUUAUUAACAUUUAUAAAUACAUAUUUCACUAGCGCACAUAGAUAUAAAAUUUUAACAAGUUUACAGAUAGGUAGACUGGUGCUGUAAUGUCAAACCACAGUGUCUUAAAUUUUAUAAUCAUAAAAAUCGAGCUGUUACCAAUAUCAUUUCAUAAAAUUAACUUUAAAUUGAAAAAUUAAUAUAAAAUUUGCAUUUUUUUUUUGUAAUUUAAUAUAAUUGAAUAAAAUAAAUUUAAAAUGUAAAUUAAAGAUAUUCAUGACAUUUAAGUGAAAUGAUGUGUUAGACAUGUAAAAAUUACUAUAUCUACUAUUUGUUCGUUAGAAACUUUUACUUGGCUACCUGCUACAGCACUCAUCCACCAUUCGAGCAAACUUGAAACUUUGUAGACGGAGUGAAUAUUUUAAAACUUAGUAGGAUACAUGCAGCCCAAAAAUAAUAUUAUAAAAUCAAACGUAAAUUACAAUAUUCCAUACCACCGUUUCAUUAAGGGCAUUUGAUGAUCAAUUUAGUACUCUUAACACAUUUUUGUGUAAACUUUUGAGAAAUCCAAAGAAAUCUUGCAUUUAAUUUCAUCACAGGUCCCUAUGUCAAUGAGCAUUUCAUGUAUAAUCAACUAAAAUAGACGGUAUUUUAAAGAUAACAACUUAAACAUAUAGUAUCUUAUCUUCGAAUCCUAUGAAAAAACUUGAAUUUAGCUCAAAGAAAAAUACAUGCGCUGAAAUAAUUUUUUAUCUUCGAAAUAAAAUAACUGAAAGAUUCGAUAUACACGAAUGAGUGUUUUCACAUGUGGUCUGUAAAUAUAUGAGAUUAAAAGUUAAUUGUUGUUGGCACCUUUAGAAAUGACAAAAGGUGAGUAUUUAUAGCACUUUUAAGAGUCCUAAUUCUUUUAAAUUUUGAAGUAUAAAAUAAUGAAUUUAAAAAUAGAUAAAAUUAAAAUUUUAUCUCAUAAUAUUUCAAGUAAUUAAGAUAAUGAAUUUAAAAGAAAGAUAAUAAGAAGAGUAGUAUCUCAAUCAUCUUUAAAAUUUCAAUAUAAGUCCUAUUAAGCUUAGUCUUCUUACAAUGCUCGCAUGAACUAUUAUUAUAAGGGUAAAUAAAAUAUUAUUCUUUGAUUGGAAAUUAUUAAGCCAAUUAUAAGAACACGAAAAAUAUUGUAUUUGGAACAUUUCAUGAAAUUGAAGCAAAAGAAAUUUAAAAGUCAUGCUUACAAUUUAAAACUAUAAUAUAAUAUUUCAUUUAAAACAUUUCUUGAAUUAAACAAAAAAAAAAUUAUAUCUAAUGCUCGAAAUUAAAUUAAAAUAUAAAAUUUCACGUAUUACCUUUGGUCCGUCAAAUUUCUAAAUGCGAAGAACAUAUUUUAAUUCAUGUUUGUGUGUGUGUGUGUUUUUUUUAUAAAGAUAGUAUCUUAUAAUAUAGUUGAAUACCCCUAUCAACACUAAGAAAUAAGAUAUAAGUUCUUAAACCUCCUCCCCCCCCCCCCCCCCCCCCCCCNNNNNNNNNNNNNNNNNNNNNNNNNNCACCCCCACCCCAAAUAAAAUAAAAAAUAAAUAAAAUAUCUUUUAUUUUAAUACAGUGAACGAUGCCACGGUCACUAUUCACUGUAAACAAUGCCAUGGUUAAUGUUCAUUGUGAAUACUGUCGCACAUAUCACCCACAUGAAUAGUGAGUCGAAUUCAAUGUUCAAGUGAACAAUAACUUCAAAUUAUAUUUUAUUUUUAUCAGUGUUAUAAAUACGCGUAUAUGCUCGAUGCAUUUUCUAAACGCCCGUAUAUGGGAUAUUUACAUGAUAAUAGUCAUGGGCAGAUCGAGGCCCGGAGGCCCGGGCUGGAUGGGCUACAACAUGUGCCAGCUCCAGUCCAGAUCCAGUUGUCACCUAUUUUUUUAUGUGGUAAUUACACAAUAGCCUACCAUUAAAAUCAUGAAUUCUGAAACCAGAUGGGAACUUUAAUCUUUCUAAAAUCAGAUAUUAGCAUAUUUAAAUAUUAAUAUUAAAUAUACAUUUUUUUAUCCCAAACCCUAUCAUUUUCUCCCUCUCCCCAGUUCGGCAAUCCUCACUCUCUCUCUCACCGUCUUCUCUCCCUUGCCCCAAUCACCCACGGCGCCAUCACCACCCACGACGCCAUCACCACCCAUGGCAUCCCCGGCGCGAAGAAGCAUGAAUCGCCGGCCAAAUAAUGCAGACCAUCGUCGCCAUGAGGAUCUGCGAUGUAUCCGAGCUUCGCAAAGGCACCAAUCGGUGGGGUUUUUUUUUUAUUUUUGGUAAAUGGUUGUUGGACUGUGGGCUGCGGCGGUGGAUCUGGCCGUGAUUGACUAUUGUGUUGUGUGUUGUGGUUGUGCAGUGUCGUGGGCUUGUGAUGUGGUGGUAUUGUGUGUGUACUGUGGGCAGUGGUUGUUCAUGGUGGUGGUGAUGUGUUUGUGGUGGGUUGUAUGUACUGGUGUUGUGGCUGAGUGGAGGUGUUGAUACGGGCGGUGGGAUGGUGGUAGAGUCCAGUGGCAGCUUGGGGAUUUUUUCUGGUGGGGGCGAUGCAAUGGUGGUGGUUUUUGUGGGGGGCGGUACGUUGGUUGUGACGAUUUUGGUUGUGCUGGUGGUGUUGUGUGGGGGUGACGACGGCGGUUUGAGGUGGUGUUGCGUGGGGGCGACGACGGCGGUUUGAGGAGGUGGUGUUGUGACCAAUCAUUUAGUGAUUUGUGAUUCCCAAUUGUUGUGUUGGUGUGUGACGGGCGAUGGCGAUGACGAUGAAAAUUGUGUGAUCUAAAAAAAAUUGUGACCAAGAAAUAUUGUGUGAUCUAAAAUAUUAAUAAUUUGUGACUUUCUUUUAAGUUGUGACCUGUAAUAUUUGUGAUCUGUUACUUAUAAAUUUUUGAUUUGUGACCCAUAAAUUUUUUGAUUUGUGACCGAGAAAUAAGUUGUGACCAAUAAUUUGAUAAGUCGUAACUAAAAAUUAAUUGUGACUCAUAAAUUUUUUAAUUUGUGACCUAUGAACGAGCUGUGACCUACAAAAUUUUUGAAUUGUGAUCGUAAAAUAAUUUUUGACAAAAUUUCUUAUUCGUGACCAAAAAAUAAUAAGUGACUAAUUAAAUUGUUAAUUUGCGAUCAAAUUAGAUGUGACCAAUAACAAUUUUGAUUUCGUGACCUAUAAAUUUUUUAUUCGUGAUCGAAAAUAAUAUGUGACCUAUAAAAUUUGUGUUUGUGACUUAUAAUUUAUUGAGUUGUGAUCGAAGAAUUAAUCAAUGACCUAUAAAAUUUGUGUUUGUAACUUAUAAUUUAUUGAGUUGUGAUCGAAAAAUUAAUCAGUGACCUAUAAAAUUUUUGAUUCAUGAUCGAAAAAUAAUGUGAUCUAUAAAAAUUUUAAUUUGUGAUUGAAAAAUAAGUUGUGACCAAUAAUAUGAUAAGUCGUGACUAAAAAUUAAUCCGUGACUAAUUAUUUUUCGAUUUGUGACCAAUAUACAAACUUUGACUGACAAAUUUUUUGAAAUGUGAUCGUAAAAAAAUUUGUGACAUAAAAUUUUUGAUUUGGGACCAAAAAAUAAUAUGUAACUAAUUACAUUAUUAAUUUGUGACCAAAUUUUAUAGAUCUGUGACUUAAAUAUAUUUACUUAAUAAAAUAAUUAAUUAACUAAUUAAAUUAUAAAUAAUUUUUAAUAAAAAUCUGAUUUUAGAAAUUUGAAACUUGUUUUCUUAUUUUUGAAAUGUGCCAUAAUUAAUUUCUUAGUUAUGAAAUUUUCCCUUUUUUUAUUGGGAAAAAUUCACAAAUCCUUCUUUAAGUAUAGAGACUUCACAAAUCAAGUUUUAAGUUUACAAAAUGCAAAAGUCAGGUUUCUUAGUUAAUUAAUUAAAAAUAUUUAUUAACUAAAUAUAGCAAGGUCACAAUUAUAUAAUUAAUGGUCACAUAUACAUAAUUAUAGGCCACAAUUUAUUUAUUAAUUACAUAUUAUCAAAUUAAUUGGUCACAGAUUAUUUCGAUGUCACAAAUCAAAAGUUUUUUAGGUUACAGUUUAUUUCGUUGGUCACAGAUCAGAAAAUUAUAGGUUAUAGUUUUUCUAUCAGUCACAUAUUUUCAAAUUUGUUGGUCACAUAUUAUUUUUCGAUCCCAAGUUAUCAAAAUUUUAGGUCACAAUCUACCAAAUACUUGGUCACAAACACCAAAUAAUUGGUUACAGACCUCCGCCACCAACACCACUGGUCCACUGCCAAUUGCUCGUCACCAUCACCAUAGUUUAAUUAUAGUUGGUCACAAACGUCAAAAUAGUUGGUCACAAAUUCCAAACACCCACACCACCGAGCUCGAUCCAGCACCACCAAUAACAACACAACACACCACAAUCUACAUCUGCACCACAGUUGGUCAAACACCACACACCGAGAGUGCCACCAACACCACCGCAAUCACAGCGUACACACACCACCACCGUAUCCAACCACACACUACCACCAACACAAGGAGCAUCAACACCACCACCACACCCCAAUGUCGCCAUUGUUGAAAACCGCAAAAAUCCCAAACCACCACCACCACCACUACUACACUUUGAGGUCGCCCCUGCUGAAAACCAUAGCAGCCCUAAACCACCAUUACCACCACCAUAAGCAACAUCAAAACCACCACACACCCUUCAACAUACCCGUGCAAGUUUCCCAACCUGAAACUCGCUGAUUCACUCCUACACCUGUUCGAACUCGCCCAACUCACUCUGGAACUCAUUCGACCUCUUCUUCAAGUUGAAAUCCUACCUACCAUCCUACCCACCCGGCACCACCAUCGCAUCCACCACCACUCCAAAAACUAACAAACGCACCAAUACACUUCCACACACUCUGAAAUUACACAAAUCAACAAACAUUUUUCUGUCGUGGCAGCGCUGCUACAUUGUCGUCAACCAGCAUUGCCGCACAACGUAGCCACGACGGCGCCACGCAUCACCUCAGUGAGCACUAACUUCAAUGCUCACAGCGGCACUCAGAUCAACAUUUGACGAUUUUGCAGCAACCACGACAUCGACGAUCGUCGUGAAACCAACGCUCGUCGUGGCACCUGUGCUAGUUGCGGUGUCGCGCGAUGCUGUGAGCUCGUUCAUUAGUUUGGUUGUUUCUUUGCUACAGGAAUUCGAGGGCAUGUUCCUUAAAGACAUGUCUAGUGAGUUACCACCCAUUAGAUGCAUCGAUCAUCAAUUUGAUUUUGUACCUGGAGCUAUUAUACCAAAUAGACCAACCUAAGAAGUAAUUCAGAUGAGACAAAUGAGCGUCAAAGACAAGUUGAGGAGUUGACGGGCAAAUCAGAAGUGAAAGUCAUUUUCCAUCAGAUGGCUGUUCCUGUAACUCUACUCUUGACUUGGAUUAUGUAUCCAAAAAGGUUGGAGACGAGAGGAAAAGCAUGAAUUCAUGUGCGGUGCCGUACUAUUUAAGCCUGAAAAUGAUGGAACGUGGAGAAUGUACAUUGAUUGCAAGAUAGUCAAUAAUAUUACAGUGAAUUAUCGUCAUCCCAUACCUAGAUGAGAUGAUAUACUUGAUGAAUAGUAUGAAUCAUAUAUUUUUAGUAAAAUAAAUCUUAAAAGUCGCUAUCACCAAAUUAGGAUGAAAGAAUGCGAUGAAUGAAAAUUUGCUUUGAAGACUAAUGCUGACUUAUAUGAAUGGCUAGUUAUGCCAUUUGAUCUUACUAAUGCACCUAGUACUUUUCUGAAAUUAAUAAACCAUGUUUUGUAUGCAUUCCUAGGGAAAUUCAUCAUAGUAUAUUUUGAUGACAUUCUAGUAUAUAGUAAGCGUUUAGAAGCAUAUUAUGGCUUUGAGAUGUGCGCAUGUUAAGUUCCUUAGUUACUUUUGAAAUAAUUGAUGGUGUAAAUUAAGAGCCAAACUGUUGCUUUCUACUACAUGCCUCCCACAACAAAUGGAAAAAUCGAGAUAGUUAAUAGAAUACAAACUUAGCUUUUCACACUAUAUAAUCAAUAAAAAUUUGAGAAGUUGGGAGGAUUUUUUACCAGAAUUUGCAUACAAUAGGGCCGUGCAUUUUACUACUUAUUAUUCUCAUUUUGAAAUUGUGUAUAGUUUUAAUCUACUAAUUCCUUUGAAUUUAAUUUAUUUACCUUUUUAUAAAAUAAGUAAUUUAGAUGGUAAGGAGGCUAAAUUGGUAUGGUUAAUCCAUGAGAAUAUUCGACUUCAAAAUGAAAAGAAGAAUGAACAUUAUAAUUCUCAGGCUAAUAAAAGAAGAUGUGUGACAUUUGAACUAGAUGAAUGGGUUGGGGUACACAUAUAGAAAGAAGGUUUUCCAGCACAAUGAAGUUCUAAAUUGCAUUCUAGAGGAGAUGGACCAUUCAAGUACUUGAGAAAAUUAAUGACAAUGCCUACUAGCUAGACCUUUCGGUGAGUAUAAUGUGUUUGCUACUUCUAAUGUUGCUAAUCUCUGUUUCUCUUUGAUGCAGGUUAAGAUUUGAGGUCCAAUCCUUUUGAAGAUGAAGUGAAUUAUGAUAAUCAUGAAAGACAAGCCCGCAAAGUUCAUUGUAUUAUCUAGAGGGAUCGAUAACGAGGUCAAGAGUAAAGAAGAUCAAGGAGCCAUGCAAGGAUUCAUCUAAGCUAAGUGGGCCAAGAGUUCAAGUGCAACAAGCAAGACACAAAGUUUCAAGAUAGGUGUAAAAAAAGAGCCAACGUUAGUGUAGUUUAUUCAAGUUAAAGGAAAAUAAGAAGCAUGUAUAAAACUUUCAACUCAAUUAUCGAAUUUUUGUCCAUAAGUACAAUCCAAGAGUGUUUUUCGAUUCUUCAAAUUUUUAUUAAAUGACAUUGACAAAUUAUUAGUGUCAAAUUCCACUGUCUGUUUUAGUGUUUUUCCCCCUAUUUCAGAUGGUUUAAAGGAAUUUUCAUUAUUUUGCAGUAUUCAGUUUAUAGUUUCCUAGUUUAUUUGGAUUUGUUUAUAGAAUCGAGGUUUCGAUUAGUAUUUAUUUUGAGUCUGCCCAUACAUGACCUUAUUCAUUGUACAAAGAACAACACAUUAUUUUGAGAUAUUAAUUAUAAAGUGAGG
rnacentral:lncRNA from 1 species